rnacentral:rRNA from 1 species
GUGGGGAAUCUUAGACAAUGGGGGAAACCCUGAUCUAGCCAUGCCGCGUGAGCGAUGAAGGCCUUAGGGUUGUAAAGCUCAUUCAGCUGGGAAGAUAAUGACGGUACCAGCAGAAGAAGCCCCGGCUAACUCCGUGCCAGCAGCCGCGGUAAUACGGAGGGGGCUAGCGUUGUUCGGAAUUACUGGGCGUAAAGCGCGCGUAGGCGGACCAGAAAGUUGGAGGUGAAAUCCCAGGGCUCAACCUUGGAACUGCCUUCAAAACUCCUGGUCUGGAGUUCGAGAGAGGUGAGUGGAAUUCCGAGUGUAGAGGUGAAAUUCGUAGAUAUUCGGAGGAACACCAGUGGCGAAGGCGGCUCACUGGCUCGAUACUGACGCUGAGGUGCGAAAGCGUGGGGAGCAAACAGGAUUAGAAACCCUAGUAGUCC